rnacentral:tRNA from 1 species
GGCGACUUAGCUCAGUUGGGAGUAGCGUAGCACUGAAGAUGCUAAGGUCCCGUGUUCGAUCCACGGAGUCGCCA